rnacentral:lncRNA from 1 species
AUACUGCCAAAGAACUGUAUGCUUUAAUGGAUACUUUUGGUCUUACACAACAUGUGACUGGUCCGACACACACUCAAGGUCACACUUUGGAUCUGGUUAUCUCUAAAGGUGUUGAUAUCUCUGCUGUUGAUGUAAGAGACUUAGCUCUAUCUGAUCAUUUCUGUGUCUUUUUUGACCUAGAGACUGUAACAUCUGUUCCCCCUAGUUAUGUGUGUUUAAAGAAAAGGUACAUAAAUGACAACACGUGCACAGUUUAUGGAAGCCAUAGCAAUGACACCAACAUUGAGUGCUGAGACAGUUGAUGAUCUUCUGGAUGAGUAUAAUAGAAACGUCUGUAAUGUCAUAGAUGUGGUGGCUCCAAUCAAAACUAAGAGAAAACCAAACACACAGAAAACACCUUGGAGGAGGACUGAGAUAAUGCAGAAUUUGAAAUCUGACUGUAGAAGAGCUGAGCGUAAAUGGAGAUCAACAAAACUCCAAAUUCAUCUAGAACUGUACAAAAUAAGUCUGCGAAAAUUCAAUGAUGGCUUGUUCAAAGCAAGGCAGCAAUACUUUUCUGAAAUUAUUGCCAAAAAUGUCAACAACUCUCGCACGUUGUUUUCUGUAAUUGAAAAGCUCACAACCCCCCCAGAUCAGAUAGCCCCUGAAUUACUGUCAGCUGGAAAAUGCAAUGAAUUUACUGUAUAUUUCAAUGAAAAAAUACAAUCAAUAAGGUCAAACAUCAGAACAAACCAGCAAAAUAACAAAAAGCUUGAACAGCUUCAACCACUGAGGGAGGAGUCAACUACAAUGUUAGAGUUUAUUACAGUGAACCCAAAAACAAUAGAGGAAACUGUUCAGCAUCUGAAUCCAUCAUCGUGUUGCCUUGACACAAAACCCUCAAACUUCUUUAAAACUGUUGUAAAGUCAUUUAUCACUGAUUAGUGUCAGAUAAUUAACUGAUCAUUCCAAUCAGGCACCGUACCAACAUCCCUGAAAGUAGCUGCUGUUAAACCUCUGUUAAAAAAGAGAACACUGGAUGCCUCUAUACUGGCUAACUAUAG